CACGGCCGGCAGCCGGCAGUCUGACUGGCACCGUCGUCGCGGACGAACCGUUUACUACCGUUCACGCGCAACCGUUAUCCGUUCCUGUUCCGCACUCCUGUCGUACACUCCGCCGUUCGUCGCCACCGACCGAUAUCGUCAUGUCUUACUACGCGACUAGAUGCACUCCCACGGUACGCCCGGCCGAGGAUUUCGACGCCAACGCCGACGCCACUGUUCUCAGAACCGCCAUGAAAGGAUUCGGUACGGAUGAACAAGCCAUCAUUGACGUGUUGGCCAGACGAUCCAACUCUCAGAGGCAGGAGAUCAAAGAAGCGUUUAAAACGCUCUACGGAAAGGACUUGAUCGACGAUUUAAAAAGCGAACUCGGCGGGAACUUCGAGAACGCCAUCGUCGCUCUGAUGACCCCGCUACCGGAGUUCUACGCCAAGGAGCUGCACGACGCCAUCAGCGGCGUGGGCACCGACGAGGAGGCCAUAGCCGAGAUCUUGGGCACGCUCAGCAAUUACGGCGUCCGCACCAUUUCCUCCGUCUACGAAAACCUGUACGGAAACUCGUUGGAAGACGAUCUGAAAUCCGACACUUCGGGAUCCUUCCAAAGACUGCUGGUGUCGUUGUGUUGUGCCAACCGCGAGGAAGACGUGGAAGUCGAUCGCAGUGCCGCAGUCGCUGACGCUCAGGCUUUGAUCGAUGCUGGCGAAGCUCAAUGGGGCACAGACGAGUCGACUUUCAACUCGAUCCUGGCCACUCGUUCCUAUCCGCAGCUGAGAGCCAUUUUCGAAGAGUACGAAAACCUCUCCGGCAAGGAUAUAGAAGAAACCAUCAAGAACGAGACUUCCGGCUCUUUGGAACAUGGUUUUCUUACAAUCGUGAAAAGCGCUAAGAAGAAGAGCGACUACUACGCCAAUCAGCUGGAAGCUUCCAUGGCAGGAAUGGGCACCAACGACCGUCAGUUGAUCAGAAUCAUCGUGGGCAGAUCCGAGAUCGAUUUGGGUGACAUUAAACAGUCUUACGAGAACAUUUACGGUACACCGUUGGUAGACCGAAUCUCCGGCGACACCUCUGGGGAUUACAAGCGUCUGUUAUUGGCCCUCGUGCGCUAGUAGAGCUUUGAAAUGCAUGAGGAAAGGGCACGUCGAUAUUCUUGCUUGUACCAACUUUUCAUACUUCAUAGCGAUUGUGGUUCAGAUUUCAAAAAUUUGCUUAUCACACUAGUAUUGCAAUAAGAUAUUUAAAAAGCUUAUUCAUUCCACGGUCGUCGUGAACGUGCACCGAUUACUCUACCACCACUACUAGACUAAUAAAAUUAGUAUAAAAAAUACUACAAACUAAAAACAUUACUACAAACAUUUAUUUGAACAUAUUAUAUACAUAUUGUAUACUUACGGUACAGCAAUAGUUGACUGUUUUUCAAUCACCAUAAAUAAUAUUACACGUACAGUUGGUAUUGAUAUUAUAACUAUUUUUUUUUAUUCCGCCCAAAUAAUGCCUAUAGUAUUUUUUUACGAGACGCGUAUAUCCCAAAUUUACCCACUCACUGCUGUAAACAUUUUAAGUUAAACGAAUAUUUUUAAUAAGACCUAUUUUCGCGCAAUACACACGCAGCAUUCACAUUUAAUAUGAAGUAACUUUUACACACGAUUAAUAUAUUUAUACUAUAUAUAUAUAUUAUUAUGC